GCCCUCUUGGCUUAGUGGUAAAGCGUAUCACUAGUAUUACCUCGGUAUGCAAUGAUAAGAUCGCUCGUUCGAUUCGGGCAGAGGGCA
rfam:Ascochyta rabiei strain ArDII scaffold_174, whole genome shotgun sequence.